UAGUCUGGUGCCAGCAGCCGCGGUAAUUCCAGCUUCAAUAGCGUAUAUUAAAGUUGUUGCAGUUAAAACGCUCGUAGUCGGAUUUCGGGGCAGGUUUGCCGGUCUGCCGAUGGGUAUGCACUGGUAGAACUGUCCUUCCUUCCGGAGACGGCGCCUACUCUUAACUGAGCGGGUGUCGGAGACGGAUCGUUUACUUUGAAAAAAUCAGAGUGUUUCAAGCAGGCAGCUCGCUUUUGCAUGGAUUAGCAUGGGAUAAUGAAAUAGGACUUUGGUGCUAUUUUGUUGGUUUCGAACACCGAAGUAAUGAUUAACAGGGACAGUCAGGGGCACUCGUAUUCCGCCGAGAGAGGUGAAAUUCUUAGACCAGCGGAAGACGAACCACUGCGAAAGCAUUUGCCAGGGAUGUUUUCACUGAUCAAGAACGAAAGUUAGGGGAUCGAAGACGAUCAGAUACCGUCGUAGUCUUAACCAUAAACCAUGCCGACUAGGGAUUGGAGGAUGUUCCUAUGUGACUCCUUCAGCACCUUUCGGGAAACUAAAGUCUUUGGGUUCCGGGGGGAGUAUGGUCGCAAGGCUGAAACUUAAAGGAAUUGACGGAAGGGCACCACCAGGAGUGGAGCCUGCGGCUUAAUUUGACUCAACACGGGGAAACUUACCAGGUCCAGACAUUGUGAGGAUUGACAGAUUGAGAGCUCUUUCUUGAUUCUAUGGGUGGUGGUGCAUGGCCGUUCUU
rnacentral:rRNA from 1 species